GCCCCGCCCCUUCUCUGGCUCACCCUCCCCCACUCCCGCACCCCUCCGCUUCGCGGCCCACCCCUCUCAGAAGCCGCAGACCCAGGGCAGGCUUGCGACAGCUCGCCCCGCCCCUGACCCAGCACCUCGGACUCGUACAGCCAAUCAAAGAGGCUAACUCUGCCCCUUCUCUCGAGGCGGCCAAUGUAGUCAGUCUGGGUACCCACCUCUCCCUUUCAGCUGAGCGCACACAACACAGCAUCCACGUGAGUCAGCUUCUUAAAGGCGAAGGCUUGGCCUGUCUAAUUGCGGCAGCUGCGAGACAUCGCACGUCAUUAGCGUCACCAGGUAGCGGCUGGAGCCGAGCUUCCUGAUACCUAGUGAGCCGCGGUGAUGACAAAUGAAAACAAUAAGCUGUUUCCUAGACAAACAGCUGCCUAGGUAACUAAAGUGCACCGUGUAAUUCGUUUCUUGGAGGCCGUUUCCCCGACCACCCCUGGUAGAGGGCUGCCUUUUGCUUUCAAACCCCUAGCCCUCGAGUCUAAGCACAAAGGCACUCCUAAGAAACAUCUGUGGAUACAGGAUUUUUCAACUGCGCUUGACUUUAUUUACAACUCAUUUGAAUGUUUUUUCUGGGUAGUGGAAAUGAUUCUCAAAAAGAUGAAGAAAUUGAGUCUUCUAUAUGGCGAAUUUCUGCCUCAGAGAGUGAGAUUUGUUUAUUGCAAAGAGCAGCUGUUCCCUUAACCCUUAUCAAUGCUUAAGAUGGAAGAUGUUGCUUCUCAUUCCAUUAGAGUUGCCCAGUUUCACUCUCUCGCCCAGGCUGGAGUGCAGUGGCACGAUCUCGGUUCACUGCAACCUCCACCUCCCGGGUUCAAGCAGUUCUCUUGCCUCAGCCUCCCAAGUAACUGGUGCUACAGUCCCUCUGGUUCUCCUGGAGGCAUGAAGAUCAGUCCAGAAGUGGAUGCGGUGAUCUAGGUACUGCGUCAAUGCCAGCUCUUCAGAAAGGCCCCCUGAAGACUCUUCCUGAAGCAGACUCAGAGAUGGAGUUAGCAUGUAUAAAUUCAGCCUGAGAUUCCAGAAUAUUCUGUGUAUUGACCACCACAGCAAGAAGAAAAAGUCCACGUAGGACUGAAAUUUUCCUGCAGGUCUCUCGCAUGCCAGUUACAGUUUACACUGGUGGCUCCAGGCUGUGUGGAGUAAACCAUGGGAAUAAAAUGGAAUAGAGCAGUGGUUCUCAAACGGGCAUCCAAAUCAGUAAAGAGGAAGUCAAACUGUCGCUGUUUGCUGAUGAUAUAAUCGUAUAUAGGCUGGUGCUGGCACCAAGAAAAUGCAUACACCCUGUGGGCAGCUCACUUUGAAGAGAGAGAGAAGAAAGGGCUGGGCUGCCCCUAUUCAAGCUCUUCUUCCAAAAGCAGUACUCAGAUGGGUCACUCCGUAAUUCCCAGGGUCCAGUCAGGGAGCGGUGGGGAGAGGCUGGAGUGGCCUACUAAGGGAGAGCCCUGUUAACAGAGCCUCCUACACAAGGAAGAAUCACUAGGAGAGGGGAAGGAACGUGCGAGGCCCCUGCCAACUCCUCUUCCAUACUCGUUCGUUUGCGCAUUCAACACACUUUUGAGCACCUUCUUUUCCUCUGUGCUCAGUGAGAGGAAUUCAAACAUGAAACUAGAUGUGGCCUUGGCUUUCAGAGAAGUCCUUCCCUUAGUAGUGAAUACUAGUUCCCUGAAGUUUAACAUUGGAGGAGAAGGAGUUAUUAAACACCCAUUCUAAGCAAGAACAUCAGUAGCCUACAAAGGGCCUUUUUUCACACUUUCAGUCUGUUGAAGAAAACUCACAGUUGGUAUCACUUGCUUUAAAAGUGCCCCCCCCUCUGCCUUGUACGGUCCAGAUUGCUGUGAGGCCAUGACAAGGAACCAAGUUCUGUUUUUCUGUGAAGAGAAUGGAAUAAUCAUUUACCUCUUUCCUGUGGCUGCCAGCUGGUCUCUUCACUCAGUCACUCCCUGUUUCUCCUUCCUCCCUUUCCUCUCCCCUUCCAGUACACAGAAUCCCUUCUCCAUAUCCCCCCAUGAUGAAGGACCACCAGUCAUUGGCUCACCUCUCUUCCAAAAUUCCAAUGACUAGAGUCUUUCUCAGAGUAUGUAUGACUGAUGUUACAGACCCCUAAGUCUGGAAGAGUCUAAGUAACAGUGGGUGUUGACCUGAAUGUAAGUUAGUUUUCU